rnacentral:rRNA from 1 species
UACGGGGGGUGCAACCGUUGCUCGGAAUUAUUGGGCGUAAAGCGCACGUAGGCGGUCCCGUAAGUCGGGUGUGAAAGCCCGGGGCUUAACCCCGGAAGUGCACUCGAAACUGCAAGGCUUGAGUAUGGAAGAGGGUCUCGGAAUUCCCGGUGUAGAGGUGAAAUUCGUAGAUAUCGGGAGGAACACCAGUGGCGAAGGCGGAGACCUGGGCCAAUACUGACGCUGAGGUGCGAAAGCGUGGGGAGCAAACAGG